rnacentral:rRNA from 1 species
UACGAAGGGGGCUAGCGUUGCUCGGAAUCACUGGGCGUAAAGGGUGCGUAGGCGGUUCAGUAAGUCGGGUGUGAAAACUUUGGGCUUAACCCAAAGCGUGCAUCCGAUACUGCUGUGACUUGAGUUCGGUAGGGGAGUGGGGAAUUCCUAGUGUAGCGGUGAAAUGCGCAGAUAUUAGGAGGAACACCGGUGGCGAAGGCGCCACUCUGGGCCGAAACUGACGCUGAGGAGCGAAAGCAUGGGUAGCAAACAGG